rnacentral:rRNA from 1 species
UACGUAGGGUGCGAGCGUUUGUCCGGAAUUAUUGGGCGUAAAGAGCUCGUAGGCGGUGUGUCACGUCGGCCGUGAAAACCUGCAGCUUAACUGUGGGCGUGCGGUCGAUACGGGCAUCACUGGAGUUCGGCAGGGGAGACUGGAAUUCCUGGUGUAGCGGUGAAAUUCGUAGAUAUCGGGAGGAACACCGGUGGCGAAGGCGGCGACCUGGGUGAU